rnacentral:rRNA from 1 species
AACUGCCUACGGGACGCAGCAGUGGGGAAUAUUGCACAAUGGGGGAAACCCUGAUGCAGCGACGCCGCGUGAGUGAAGAAGUAUUUCGGUAUGUAAAGCUCUAUCAGCAGGGAAGAGAAUGACGGUACCUGACUAAGAAGCCCCGGCUAACUACGUGCCAGCAGCCGCGGUAAUACGUAGGGGGCAAGCGUUAUCCGGAUUUACUGGGUGUAAAGGGAGCGUAGACGGCUGUACAAGUCUGAAGUGAAAGCCCGUGG